UGCAAGUCGAGGGGCAGCAUUGGAGUAGCAAUACUUCAGAUGGCGACCGGCGCACGGGUGAGUAACACGUAUCCAACCUGCCGCUUACUCGGGGAUAGCCUUUCGAAAGAAAGAUUAAUACCCGAUGGUAUAAAGAGUUCGCAUGUUCUCUUUAUUAAAGAAUUUCGGUAAGCGAUGGGGAUGCGUUCCAUUAGAUAGUUGGCGGGGUAACGGCCCACCAAGUCUACGAUGGAUAGGGGUUCUGAGAGGAAGGUCCCCCACAUUGGAACUGAGACACGGUCCAAACUCCUACGGGAGGCAGCAGUGAGGAAUAUUGGUCAAUGGACGCGAGUCUGAACCAGCCAAGUAGCGUGAAGGAUGACUGCCCUAUGGGUUGUAAACUUCUUUUAUAAGGGAAUAAAGUGAGGGACGUGUCCCUUUUUGUAUGUACCUUAUGAAUAAGGAUCGGCUAACUCCGUGCCAGCAGCCGCGGUAAUACGGAGGAUCCAAGCGUUAUCCGGAUUUAUUGGGUUUAAAGGGAGCGUAGGUUGACAUAUAAGUCAGCUGUGAAAGUUUACGGCCCAACCGUGAAAUUGCAGUUGAUACUGUAUGUCUUGAGUGUACAAGAGGUGGGCGGAAUUCGUGGUGUAGCGGUGAAAUGCUUAGAUAUCACGAAGAACUCCAAUUGCGAAGGCAGCUCACUGGGGUACAACUGACACUGAGGCUCGAAAGUGUGGGUAUCAAACAGGAUUAGAUACCCUGGUAGUCCACACAGUAAACGAUGAAUACUCGCUGUUUGCG
rnacentral:rRNA from 1 species